AUUGAACGCUGGUGGAAUGCUUUACACAUGCAAGUCGAACGGCAGCACGGACUUCGGUCUGGUGGCGAGUGGCGAACGGGUGAGUAAUAUAUCGGAACGUAUCCAAUAAUGGGGGAUAACUAAUCGAAAGGUUGGCAAAUACCGCAUACGUCCUACGGGAGAAAGCUAGGGACCUUCGGGCCUGGCGUUAAUGGAGCGGCCGAUAUCGGAUUAGCUAGUUGGUGAGGUAAAGGCUCACCAAGGCGACGAUCCGUAGCUGGUCUGAGAGGACGACCAGCCACACUGGAACUGAGACACGGUCCAGACUCCUACGGGAGGCAGCAGUGGGGAAUUUUGGACAAUGGGCGAAAGCCUGAUCCAGCCAUUCCGCGUGAGUGAAGAAGGCCUUCGGGUUGUAAAGCUCUUUCGCAAGAGAAGAAAACUUACCCUCUAACAUAGGGUGAGGUUGACGGUAUCUUGAUAAGAAGCACCGGCUAACUACGUGCCAGCCGCCGCCGUAACAC
rnacentral:rRNA from 1 species